rnacentral:rRNA from 1 species
AACGAACGCUGGCGGCAGGCCUAACACAUGCAAGUCGAACGAACCUUUCGGGGUUAGUGGCGGACGGGUGAGUAACACGUGGGAACGUGCCUUUAGGUUCGGAAUAACUCAGGGAAACUUGUGCUAAUACCGAAUGUGCCCUUCGGGGGAAAGAUUUAUCGCCUUUAGAUCGGCCCGCGUCUGAUUAGCUAGUUGGUUGAGGUAAUGGCUCACCAAGGCGACGAUCAGUAGCUGGUCUGAGAGGAUGAUCAGCCACAUUGGGACUGAGACACGGCCCAAACUCCUACGGGAGGCAGCAGUGGGGAAUCUUGCGCAAUGGGCGAAAGCCUGACGCAGCCAUGCCGCGUGAAUGAUGAAGGUCUUAGGAUUGUAAAAUUCUUUCACCGGGGACGAUAAUGACGGUACCCGGAGAAGAAGCCCCGGCUAACUUCGUG